rnacentral:misc_RNA from 1 species
AACACGUAAUCACAACCGCGUGUCGUGGGAUCGGGUGUGAGCCUGAGCCCUGCGAUGCGCGCCGCCAUGCGUGCAAGGUGCCUAUCUUUAGGCAUCGAGGACGUUGUGUCGGCACAAAAACAAACCCCGGCACGGCAUGUGCCAAGGAAAACAAAACUUAAGAAGGGUGCGUCUCGUGUUGCCCCGUUUUCGGUGUGCACACGGGUMGUGGCCUCUCAAUAACCAU